rnacentral:siRNA from 1 species
AGGUUUCACGUUCGUUUCACAA